UACGGAGGAUGCGAGCGUUAUCCGGAUUUAUUGGGUUUAAAGGGUGCGUAGGCGGGUCGAUAAGUCAGCGGUGAAAACCCAUGGCUCAACCAUGGAAUUGCCGUUGAAACUGUUGGUCUUGAAUAUGGUCAGGGUAGGCGGAAUGCGUAAUGUAGCGGUGAAAUGCUUAGAUAUUACGCAGAACACCUAUUGCGAAGGCAGCUUGCUGGGCCAGUAUUGACGCUGAGGCACGAAAGCGUGGGGAGCGAACAGGAUUAGAUA
rnacentral:rRNA from 1 species